rnacentral:rRNA from 1 species
AAUCAACGCUGGCGGCGUGCCUCAGACAUGCAAGUCGAACGAUUAAACUUCCCUUCGGGGUAGAUAUAAAGUGGCGCACGGGUGAGUAACACGUAGGUAAUGUACCUUUGGGUGGGGAAUAACUUAGGGAAACUUAAGCUAAUACCUCAUAAUGCAGCGGCUCCUUCGGGAGACAGUUGUUAAAGAUUUAUCGCCUAAAGAGCAGCCUGCGGCAGAUUAGCUAGUUGGUAAGGUAACGGGUUACCAAGGCUACGAUCUGUAUCCGACAGGAGAGGGUGGUCGGACACUCUUACACUGACUAGCGGGUCAGACUCCUACGGGAGGCAGCAGUCGGGAAUUUUGGGCAAUGGGCGAAAGCCUGACCCAGCAACGACGCGUGAAGGAUGAAGUCUUUCGGGAUGUAAACUUCGUAAGAAUAGGAAGAAUAUGUGACGGUCCUAUGUGUAAGGACCGGCUAACUACGUG